rnacentral:ncRNA from 1 species
UUUAUGGAGAGUUUGAUCCUGGCUCAGGACGAACGCUGGCGGCGUGCCUAAUACAUGCAAGUCGAGCGGAGUUU